rnacentral:miRNA from 1 species
GGAAGAUUGCUUGAGCCCAGGAGUUGAAGGCUACAGUGAGCUAUAAUCAUGCCACUGCACUCCAGCCUGAGUGACAGAGUUAGACCCUGUCUC